AUUGAACGCUGUCGGCAGGCCUAACACAUGCAAGUCUAGCGGAUGUAGUGAGCUUGCUCCUGGAUUCAGCGGCGGACGGGUGAGUAAUGCCUAGGAAUCUUCCUGGUAGUGGGGGAUAACGUCCGUAAACGGGCGCUAAUACCUCAUACGUCCUGAGGGAGAAAGUGGGGGAUCUUCGGACCUCACGCUUUCAGAUGAGCCUAGGUCGGAUUAGCUAGUUGGUGGGGUAAAGGCCUACCAAGGCGACGAUCCGUAACUGGUCUGAGAGGAUGAUCAGGCACACGGGAACUGAGAAACGGUCCAGACUCCUACGGGAGGCAACAGUGGGGAAUAUUGGACAAUGGGCGAAGGCCUGAACCAGCCAUGCCGCGUGUGUGAAGAAGGUCUUCGGAUUGUAAAGCACUUUAAGUUGGGAGGAAGGGCAGUAAGUUAAUACCUUGCUGUUUUGACGAUACCAACAGAAUAAGCACCGGAUAACUUCGUG
rnacentral:rRNA from 1 species